rnacentral:rRNA from 1 species
ACGGGUGCGUAACACGUGGGCAAUCUGCCCUCGGAUGGGGGAUAACCCCGCGAAAGCGGGGCUAAUACCGCAUGACAUUCCGGAGACCCUGGUCUCUGGAUUCAAAGGCCGCAAGGCCGUCUGAGGAGGAGCCCGCGCCCGAUUAGCUAGUUGGUGAGGUAACGGCUCACCAAGGCUUUGAUCGGUAGCCGGUCUGAGAGGAUGGCCGGCCACACUGGAACUGAGACACGGUCCAGACUCCUACGGGAGGCAGCAGUGGGGAAUAUUGCGCAAUGGGCGAAAGCCUGACGCAGCGACGCCGCGUGGGGGAUGAAGCUUCUCGGAGUGUAAACCCCUUUCGACCCGGACGAAUGACCCGCAAGGGUUUGACGGUACGGGUAUAAGAAGCCCCGGCUAACUACGUGCCAGCAGCCGCGG